UGCCUGGUGGUCCAGUGGCUAAGACUCUGUUCUACCACUGCAGGAGGCCUGGGUUUGAUCCCGGUCGGGCAA
rnacentral:tRNA from 1 species